AUUGAACGCUGGCGGCAUGCCUUACACAUGCAAGUCGAACGGUAACAGGUCUUCGGAUGCUGACGAGUGGCGAACGGGUGAGUAAUACAUCGGAACGUGCCCGAGAGUGGGGGAUAACGAGGCGAAAGCUUUGCUAAUACCGCAUACGAUCUCAGGAUGAAAGCAGGGGACCGCAAGGCCUUGCGCUCACGGAGCGGCCGAUGGCAGAUUAGGUAGUUGGUGGGAUAAAAGCUUACCAAGCCGACGAUCUGUAGCUGGUCUGAGAGGACGACCAGCCACACUGGGACUGAGACACGGCCCAGACUCCUACGGGAGGCAGCAGUGGGGAAUUUUGGACAAUGGGCGCAAGCCUGAUCCAGCCAUGCCGCGUGCGGGAAGAAGGCCUUCGGGUUGUAAACCGCUUUUGUCAGGGAAGAAAAGGCUCCUGUUAAUACCGGGGGCUCAUGACGGUACCUGAAGAAUAAGCACCGGCUAACUACGUGCCAGCCGCCGCCGUAAGAC
rnacentral:rRNA from 1 species